GGCUCUGUAGUGUAGCGGUUAUCACUCAAGAUUCUGAUCAUCGACUUCUUGAAACCCAGGUUCGAUUCCUGGCAGGGCCU
rfam:Coprinopsis cinerea okayama7#130 chromosome 5 cont3.5, whole genome shotgun sequence.